UACGUAGGGACCGAGCGUUGUCCGGAUUCAUUGGGCGUAAAGAGCUCGUAGGCGGCUGUUCAAGUCGAACGUGAAAACUCGGAGCUCAACUCCGAGCCUGCGUUCGAUACUGGACGGCUAGAGUCUGGUAGGGGGAUCUGGAAUUCCUGGUGUAGCGGUGAAAUGCGUAGAUAUCAGGAGGAAUACCGAUGGCGAAGGCAGGUCUCUGGGCUGACACUGACGCUCAUGCACGAAAGCGUGGGGAGCAAACAGG
rnacentral:rRNA from 1 species